CCCUCUAAGGCAAGCCUGGGGAAGUCUUGAUGCCUUAAUCGGACGGCUGCGAGCUGCUUAUGAGGAACAUGGAGGAUCAUCGGACACAAAUCCUUUUGGAAAUGGAGCUAUUCGUGUUUAUUUGCGUGAAGUGAGGGAGUGUCAAGCUAAGGCAAGAGGGAUUCCAUACAAGAAGAAAAAGAAGAAGAAGAAUCAAAUCAAGCCAAGAGAAGAUGCAAAGCCCUCGAUGCAGACAGCUUAAUAUCAACAACUCCUUUGGCUUCUGCAGAUGAAUGGUAAUAAUUCUGCCUUAGAGGAAUUUCACACAAACACACACAAAUAAGAAUUUUACAUGCAUCUUCAUACACAAACAUCUACAUGAUCAGUGGUGUUGUAGCUUGAUUUUCUCAGAAAUUUUCUGAUUAACAGAGGCAAAAUGUACAGCUAUCUUUAUCUAAACAACAAGCAAAACAAAUCAAAUUCCUACUUAAUUAUAAAUCGAUUCCUGAAAAGGGAUUAUGACUAUUGAAUUAGAUGAUCAAACCUGUUUGUAUGGCGUCAUAAAACCCUAAACCCACCUCGCAAAACCCUAAUCCAGGCAUCGUUGUGUGUGUAUGGAGUGAAGAAGAGUGGGUUUUAGAGCCUGAGAUUGUAUGGGAUCGAUAAUCUAUGAUUGGGGUGAAAGAAAGAAAGAAAAGAGUCUCUCUCUCAAAUCAUGCAAAACACUGUUUAUAAUGUUUUCCAAAUUAAAUAAAUCUAAGUUGAUUACUUUUUUUUUUUUCUCUCUUGUUUUUGUUUCUUUUUUGAUUCUCUCUGAUUUUCGUGCUCCCCAUGAAGGACCAUGUGAUA
rnacentral:lncRNA from 1 species